UACGGAGGGUGCGAGCGUUGUUCGGAAUUACUGGGCGUAAAGAGCGUGUAGGCGGUCAUGCAAGUCAGGUGUGAAAUCCCGGGGCUUAACCCCGGACGUGCAUUUGAAUCUGCAUGGCUAGAGUGUGGUAGAGGAUAUUGGAAUACCCAGUGUAGUGGUGAAAUACGUAGAUAUUGGGUAGAACACCAGUUGCGAAGGCGGAUAUCUGGGCCAUAACUGUCGCUGAGACGCGAAAGCGUUGGGAGCAAACAGG
rnacentral:rRNA from 1 species